rnacentral:rRNA from 1 species
CCUACGGGUGGCAGCAGUGGGGAAUAUUGCACAAUGGGGGAAACCCUGAUGCAGCGACGCCGCGUGAGUGAAGAAGUAUUUUGGUAUGGAAAGCUCUAUCAGCAGGGAAGCAAAUGACGGUACCUGACUAAGAAGCACCGGCUAACUACGUGACAGCAGCCGCGGUAAUACGUAGGGGGCAAGCGUUAUCCGGAUUUACUGGGUGUAAAGGGAGCGUAGACGGCCAGACAAGUCAGAAGUGAAAGCCCAGGGCUCAACCCUGGGACUGCUUUUGAAACUGCCGGGCUGGAGUGAAGGAGAGGUAAGCGGAAUUCCUGGUGUAGCGGUGAAAUGCGUAGAUAUUGGGAGGAACUCCGGUGGCGAAGGCGGCUUACUGGACUGUAACUGACGUUGAGGCUCGAAAGCGUGGGGAGCAAACAGGAUUAGAUACCCCUGUAGUC